rnacentral:rRNA from 2 species
AGCAGCCGCGGUAAUUCCAGCUCCAAUAGCGUAUAUUAAAGUUGUUGCAGUUAAAAAGCUCGUAGUUGAAUUUCGGGGUUAGUAGGUUGGUCAUGCCUCUGGUAUGUACUGGUCUCACUGAUUCCUCCUUCCUGAUGAACCUUAAUGCCAUUAAUUUGGUGUUUUGGGGAAUUUGGACUGUUACUUUGAAAAAAUUAGAGUGUUUAAAGCAAGCUAACGCUUGAAUACAUUAGCAUGGAAUAAUGAAAUAGGACGUUCGAUCCUAUUUUGUUGGUUUCUAGGAUUGACGUAAUGAUUAAUAGGGAUAGUUGGGGGCAUUAGUAUUCAAUUGUCAGAGGUGAAAUUCUUGGAUUUAUUGAAGACUAACUACUGCGAAAGCAUUUGCCAAGGAUGUUUUCAUUAAUCAAGAACGAAAGUUAGGGGAUCGAAGACGAUCAGGUACCGUCGUAGUCUUAACCAUAAACUAUGCCGACUAGGGAUCGGAUGAUGUUAAUUUUUUAAUGACUCA